rnacentral:tRNA from 1 species
AGCUCAGAGAAUAUUAUAGAUUGAUUUAUGGAUCCUUUUUGGGGUAUAGCCAAGUGGUAAGGCAGUGGACUU